rnacentral:tRNA from 1 species
GGGCAUAUAGCUCAGUGGUAGAGCAUGUGCUUAGCAUGCAUGAGGUCCGGGGUUCAAUCCCCAGUAUCUCCA